GCAGUUCAUUAAUCCUGGCCCAGUGACAGCCAGUCAUGCUCCUUUCUCUCUCCUGCCGCCGAUCAGGGACACUGAUAGCAAUAAGAAUGGGUGCCGAUGCUGCUAUUAAGUUUACAGGACCCAGGACUAAUUCAGGUUGUGAGCCCAUAGGGAAGGGACUGACCUUCAGCAAGAGCCAUCCAUCAUGAGAUGGGACAGCAUCAUGUAUACUGCCCUAAACUCGUUUGAGGAAAAGCAGGAUUCAAAAUAUGAUGAACAAGUAAGUACUUACAAUGAAAUGUUGCAGUAUAAGGAUUGUGAAAAAGGUUAUACUGAAUGUGGCUUGUUUGUUAUGUGACUCCAUGCAUGCGUGUAUACAUCCACUGAUCAGCAGAUUAACAGAUUCAGUGUGCAACUUCCCCUCCAUUCCUCAGGACAGAAGAAACAACUGCAUGAGUGUGAACUUAUUUUAGAGGAGGCUAACCCCACACUUCCCAAGAGUUUAAAUGUGUUAAACUCCUUCCUCCAUCAGAAACACAAAGGUGCUCCGGUUAUCCAUCCAUAAGGAACACAGCGUUUCUAGCUCUUUUGGCAAUGGCAUAUAAAUAAAUCAGCUUCUGAUUUUAUCCCAGGAACAGAACUGAUAGCACUAGAGUGUUUUGGGCCCUGGAGCCUCUAUCGUCCUGCACUGUGAAAUAUUCAGCUAGGAGAGGCACACGGUGGCAUUUUCCUCUUGGCCUGAGCCACCCACAAAGAGCAUAAUUUAGCUGAAGAAUAAACUUCAAAGGAAAAAGAACCAUGAUGUCGCUCCAGCCCAGUUAACUUCCUCCUCCACUCCUUCAGAAGUAGAAGGGCUGCUUUCAUGUCCCGUCCCCCCCCACUAGAAACCACUAAACUGGGAACAAGUCCCAAUUUAGCUUUGUAAAGUGAAAAUAAAACUUCAGAAGACCGUUUGCCUCUGAAACACUGUCCAGCCCGGGGGUGGGGGGUGAAGGUAAGAGAAAGUCCACUCUGAGGAAAAACACACACCCAGAAGAGCCUUUAAGCAGCCUUUGUCGCUAAAUUCUACAGUGUACUUUAUAGCAGGUUUAUGUGCUUAAUUUAAUCUGCAUGGUAUGGACUGCACAAAAAGAUCUCCUUUAUGAAAACAUGUAUUAUUUCAAUCC